UUCCCAGACAAAAAAAACCAUUCACGCCAAGGGAGAAGCAUGAAUGGUCAAUACAUUGCGGGAAAACGUCUUACUCACUACUUCGAUCACUUCAAGGAAAAGCAAUCUCUGUCAGCGGUUUAUAUUGUAACUAUUUCAGUUUUAAAUAGCGUUAAACUGUGCAAUCGUUAUAUCAAU
rnacentral:ncRNA from 1 species